rnacentral:lncRNA from 1 species
UCAUGGAGGACAUCAUCGAUAGUGCUUUGCCUUGAUGAGGAGGAACUACCUGCAAAAGUGUUAGAAAAAUGUGUAGGGUGUGCAGGUGGAACAAUGCUUGCACCCCCACCAGUGGCAACAUUUUGAGAAAUGUGCGUGGGAGCUCUAUUAGUCACAGGAUCAUCAGAGAUAGUCAUAAAAAAAAUCAAAAAUAAAAGAAAGCAAAAAUUAAACAAGAAUUAAAGAAAACUCAUGGG